UUUAUUUAAAAAACCAGCGAACAAAAAUCCUCCGGUCUCCAGUAAACUUCUCGGUAGGAGAUGAACGCCCCUUUCUACCGGGAAAAUCUGACCAAAUCCAGGUCUGAAUCCUUACUUUCUCCCCUUGCACACGGGAGAAAGUCAGCGCACCCCGUCGUGCUGCUAGAAGCCUCAGUUGGGGCAAACUGGGCAGGUCCGGGCAGAGCAGGGCUGUGCUGGUCUCCUAGCGACCUGGGAAGCCGUGCCGGGACAUGCCACCCACGACCCGGCAGGGGUCCUGCAGCCGGCGCCGGCGCCAUGGCGGAGCGUGGGCAGAGGCUCCAGCCCACGACUUUGGCUCUCGGGCUGCAGCAGGAGCACCGGAACCGCGGGCGGUACCUGGAGAACUUGCCUUCCAAGUGUUGCUCGAAACACAAGAGGCUGAAGUUCCCGGGAUCCUUGAACAGCCAGCACUGGGUGUUUGUGAGAGAGGAACUGGAUGACUUCAGGAAAGGCUGCUGCCCACGCCAGCGCCCCAAGGAUGUCUUUCUGCCUCAUAUUCAUCACAGACUUCCCCAAGCGACCCCCAAGAAGAGGCAGAAUGGACUGCCCAAGGGGGCAGCCUUGUUGUCCAAGCUCUCACAAGCUAGGAAGGCAUUUCUCGAGGACGUGGAAGAUAACGUGGCUCUGCAUGCCCUGGCUCUCUACCCGCAUCUGGAAGAAGCUCUGCCUGCUGAGCUCUUACUGCAGGUGCUGGAGGCACUGGACCCCGAGAGGAAGCUGGAGGACACGUGGGCUUGUCGUCAGGAUACCAGGAAGUUAACGAAGGGACCCACAAAGCUGGAAGAAAAACGCCCUUCUCAAGUGUGCCUACCCAAGAAGAUGCCGGUGUCACAUUCAGGCCAGUGGCUUUGUGAAGAAAAGCCAAGCGAAGCGAAUUCUCUCUAUAAAGACAGUCUCCUCCAUGACAACAUACGCAGAGGAGUCCGAGACUUCUGCCACUGGGCCACAGCUCUUGGAAGUUCGCCCAUCGAUGAGGAGUUCAUUCUGCAGCAGUUUGACAUCAACUAUCAGACCAGACGCAGCUGUGAUGCACUUCCGGCGAUGAGGCGAAACCAGGACAAGCUCUUCUUGGAUGGUCAGCCUUCCCUGAGAGAACAGAGUGGGUGCUGGAAUGAACCCCUGCCCUCUGGAAGAACAAGUCCUCGUAAGCCGAAGCAGGUGAAGAUGAGGUUCGGAGCCUGGUAUCUGAAGACCAACUUGUGGAAGAAGCGAAGAGCGGAUGAACCUUUGGUGGACCCCAAGGUCUCACACAAAGCUCAAGACGCCGACUUCGAAAAGCAUCCUCGGGAGCAGGCGGAGCUGCUCACAGGCCUGCAUGGAACCACCACCUUUAAGGACUUCAUUUUAAGCAGAGGUUACAGGAUGCCCAGGUUCCUUGAGAAGAUAUAUACUGAGGAGAAAGGUAAAUCUGAACAUAUUAAGACUCCUAAAAACCUCACCGAGAGGAAUCCUGGGAGAAGAUGAGGCAGCUUUUUUGACUGCAGACUUAGGCAUUGCCUCAUUAUUUUAAUUAUUAAGUAGGAUAUGGUUAGGCCUUCUUCAGGCAGAGUCUUGCUAUGUAGCCCAGGCUGACCUCUAAUUAGUCAUCCCCACCUCCAAUCCCUCAGUCUCUCAGGGGCUAGGGUUACAGUUGUCCACCAACAUAGCAUUCUGUGUAUUACCAACUAUGGGAUCAAUAUUCAUGUAUUGUCUUCUCACAGUUUUGUGUUAUGAAAAUUAUAUAAGUAUAAUAAUUUUUUGUAAAAAUAAAAUCAUGACUAAAGGUAAAAA